rnacentral:rRNA from 1 species
GACGAACGCUGGCGGCGUGCCUAAUACAUGCAAGUAGAACGCUGAAGGAGGAGCUUGCUCUUCUGGAUGAGUUGCGAACGGGUGAGUAACGCGUAGGUAACCUGCCUGGUAGCGGGGGAUAACUAUUGGAAACGAUAGCUAAUACCGCAUAACAGUAGAUGUUGCAUGACAUUUACUUAAAAGGUGCAAUUGCAUCACUACCAGAUGGACCUGCGUUGUAUUAGCUAGUUGGUGGGGUAACGGCUCACCAAGGCGACGAUACAUAGCCGACCUGAGAGGGGGAUCGGCCACACUGGGACUGGGACACGGCCCAGACUCCUACGGGAGGCAGCAGUAGGGAAUCUUCGGCAAUGGACGGAAGUCUGACCGAGCAACGCCGCGUGAGUGAAGAAGGUUUUCGGAUCGUAAAGCUCUGUUGUAAGAGAAGAACGAGUGUGAGAGUGGAAAGUUCACACUGUGACGGUAGCUUACCAGAAAGGGACGGCUAACUACGUG